CGGUGUUUAACUGGCGUGAUGUGGGACGUCCUACCGGUGGGCUUAGCCUCGCGAGGGGCGGCCCAACUAAUAUCCCGUCGCGGUGCUCUUUACUGAGUGUCGAGUCGGGCCGGUACGUUUACUUUGAACAAAUUAGAGUGCUUAAAGCAGGCUAUCCUCGCCUGAAUACUGCGUGCAUGGAAUAAUGGAAUAGGACCUCGGUUCUAUUUUGUUGGUUUUCGGAACCCCGAGGUAAUGAUUAAUAGGGACAGAUGGGGGCAUUCGUAUUGCGACGUUAGAGGUGAAAUUCUUGGAUCGUCGCAAGACGGACAGAAGCGAAAGCAUUUGCCAAAAAUGUUUUCAUUAAUCAAGAACGAAAGUUAGAGGUUCGAAGGCGAUCAGAUACCGCCCUAGUUCUAACCAUAAACGAUGCCAGCUAGCGAUCCGCCGAAGUUCCUCCGAUGACUCGGCGGGCAGCUUCCGGGAAACCAAAGCUUUUGGGUUCCGGGGGAAGUAUGGUUGCAAAGCUGAAACUUAAAGGAAUUGACGGAAGGGCACCACCAGGAGUGGAGCCUGCGGCUUAAUUUGACUCAACACGGGAAACCUCACCAGGCCCAGACACCGGAAGGAUUGACAGAUUGAUAGCUCUUUCUUGAUUCAGUGGGUGGUGGUGCAUGGGCCGUUCUUAGUUGGUGGAGCGAUUUGUCUGGUUAAUUCCGAUAACGAACGAGACUCUAGCCUGCUAAAUAGGCGUACCUUAUGGUAUCGCGAAGGCCCCCGGCUUCGGCCGGUGGGUUUUUACUACCAACGUACAAACAAAUCUUCUUAGAGGGACAGGCGG
rnacentral:rRNA from 1 species